CCUACGGGAGGCUGCAGUGGGGAAUAUUGCACAAUGGGGGAAACCCUGAUGCAGCAACGCCGCGUGGGUGAAGGAGCGUCUCCGCGCGGUAAGCCCCGUCAGCGGGGAAGCAGAAAGCCGGUACCCGACCAAGAAGCCCCGGCGCACUACGUGCCACCGGCCGUGGCAAUACGGAGGGGGCGAGCGUUAUCCGGAAUUCCGGGGCGUAAGGGGAGCGUAGACGGCGAGGUAAGCCGGGAGUGGAAGCGCGCGGCCCAACCGCGGAACCGCUUUGGGAACUGUUUGGCUGGAGUAUGGGAGGGGUAAGCGGAAUUCGUGGUGUAGCGGUGAAAUGCGUAGAUAUCAGGAGGAACACCGAUGGCGAAGGCGGCUUACUGGAGCAUAACUGACGUUGAGGCUCGAAAGCGUGGGGAGCGAACAGGAUUAGAUACCCUAGUAGUC
rnacentral:rRNA from 1 species